rnacentral:misc_RNA from 1 species
GAUGAAGAACGCAGCGAAACGCGAUAGUUAAUGUGAAUUGCAGAAUUCAGUGAAUCAUCGAAUCUUUGAACGCACAUUGCGCCCGCCAGUAUUCUGGCGGGCAUGCCUGUUCGAGCGUCAUUUCAACCAUCAAGCCCCCGGCUUGUGUUGGGGACCUGCGGCUGCCGCAGGCCCUGAAAACCAGUGGCGGGCUCGCUAGUCACUCCGAGCGUAGUAAUACAUCUCGCUCAGGGCGUGCUGCGGGUUCCGGCCGUUAAAAAGCCUUAUUUACCCAAGGUUGACCUCGGAUCAGGUAGGAAGACCCGCUGAACUUAAGCAUAUCAAUAAGCGGAGGA